rnacentral:rRNA from 1 species
AUUGAACGCUGGCGGCAGGCUUAACACAUGCAAGUCGAGCGAGCGGCGGACGGGUGAGUAAUGUCUGGGAAACUGCCUGAUGGAGGGGGAUAACUACUGGAAACGGUAGCUAAUACCGCAUACCAUCAGAUGUGCCCAUAUGGGAUUAGCUAUUAGGUGGGGUAAUGGCGCACCUAGGCGACGAUCCCUAGCUGGUCUGAGAGGAUGAUCAGCCACACUGGGACUGAGACACGGUCCAGCCUCCUACGGGAGGCAGCAGUGGGGAAUAUUGCACAAUGGGCGCAAGCCUGAUGCAUCCAUGCCGAGUGUAUGAAGAAGGCCUUCGGGUUGUAAAGCACUUUCAGCGAGGAGGCGUUACUCACAGAAGAAGCACCGGCUAACUCCGUGCCAGCAGCCGCGGUAAUUC